rnacentral:rRNA from 1 species
UCGAGAAUCAUUCACAAUGGGGGAAACCCUGAUGGUGCGACGCCGCGUGGGGGAAUGAAGGUCUUCGGAUUGUAAACCCCUGUCAUGUGGGAGCAAAUUAAAAAGAUAGUACCACAAGAGGAAGAGACGGCUAACUCUGUGCCAGCAGCCGCGGUAAUACGGAGGGUGCAAGCGUUACUCGGAAUCACUGGGCGUAAAGCGUGCGUAGGCUGUUUCGUAAGUCGUGUGUGAAAGGCGCGGGCUCAACCCGCGGACGGCACAUGAUACUGCGAGACUAGAGUAAUGGAGGGGGAACCGGAAUUCUCGGUGUAGCAGUGAAAUGCGUAGAUAUCGAGAGGAACACUCGUGGCGAAGGCGGGUUCCUGGACAUUAACUGACGCUGAGGCACGAAGGCCAGGGGAGCGAAAGGG